GGAGGUAGGUACUCGCUGAAUGUCACCUGACGCUUGGAGUUGUUUUGUCCCUGAACCAUUAUUCAGAUAUCUUAUUCACAGUUACUAGGAACUAAAGAAAUACUUCAACCAUUUGAUGUCAUUGGUUGAAGGCCUUUAUGCAAUAAUAAUUACAGACAGAGAUGGUGUUCCAGUGUUUAAAGGUAUUAUUUGUGAUAUGAUUUAUUCUUACACAAAAAUAUCAU